rnacentral:rRNA from 1 species
GCCAGCAGCCGCGGUAAUACGGAGGGUGCAAGCGUUAAUCGGAAUUACUGGGCGUAAAGCGUACGUAGGCGGUGUGUUAAGCAAGAUGUGAAAGCCCCGGGCUCAACCUGGGAAUUGCAUUUUGAACUGGCACGCUAGAGUCCUGCAGAGGGUGGUAGAAUUUCCAGUGUAGCGGUGAAAUGCGUAGAUAUUGGAAGGAAUACCAGUGGCGAAGGCGGCCACCUGGUCAGAGACUGACGCUGAGGUACGAAAGCGUGGGGAGCAAACAGGAUUAGAUACCCUGGUAGUCCACGCCGUAAACGAUGUCAACUAGUUGUUCGUGUCACUAAGACGUGAGUAACGCAGCUAACGCACUAAGUUGACCGCCUGGGGAGUACGGCCGCAAGGUUAAAACUCAAAUGAAUUGACGGGGGCCCGCACAAGCGGUGGAGCAUGUGGUUUAAUUCGACGCAACGCGAAGAACCUUACCUGGUCUUGACAUGCAGAGAACUUUCCAGAGAUGGAUUGGUGCCUUCGGGAACUCUGACACAGGUGCUGCAUGGCCGUCGUCAGCUCGUGUCGUGAGAUGUUGGGUUAAGUCCCGUAACGAGCGCAACCCCUAUCCCUAGUUGCUAGCAGUUCGGCUGAGAACUCUAGGGAGACUGCCGGUGACAAACCGGAGGAAGGUGGGGAUGACGUCAGGUCAUCAUGGCCCUUACGGCCAGGGCUACACACGUGCUACAAUGGUGCGCACAGAGGGCUGCAAACCCGCGAGGGGGAGCCAAUCUCACAAAACGCAUCGUAGUCCGGAUCGGAGUCUGCAACUCGACUCCGUGAAGUCGGAAUCGCUAGUAAUCGUGAAUCAGAAUGUCACGGUGAAUACGUUCCCGGGCCUUGUACACACCGCCCGUCACACCAUGGGAGUGGAUUGCACCAGAAGUGGUUAGUCUAACCUUCGGGAGGACGAUCACCACGGUGUGGUUCAUGACUGGGGUGAAGUCGUAACAAGGUAACC